rnacentral:rRNA from 1 species
AACGAGCGCUGGCGGCGCGCUUAACACAUGCAAGUCGAACGAGAAGGCGUAGCAAUACGCUUGUACAGUGGCGAACGGGUGAGUAAUACGUGGGCGACCUACCCUCGAGUGGGGAAUAACCCGCCGAAAGGCGGGCUAAUGCCGCGUACGCUUCCAUCUUUAUGGAGGUGGAAGGAAAGCCGUGCCGUGGGCACGGCGCUCAAGGAUGGGCUCACGUCCUAUCAGCUUGNGGUAGGGUAACGGCCUACCAAGGCUCCGACGGGUAGCUGGUCUGAGAGGACGAUCAGCCACACUGGCACUGCGACACGGGCCAGACUCCUACGGAGGCAGCAGUGAGGAAUAUUGCGCAAUGGGCGAAAGCCUGACGCAGCGACGCCG